CGGGGGGGGUCCGGUGGCCCCUCACCACCCGCCCUGUCCCCGUAGGCCUGCCUGAUGCACGAGGCCAAGAACUUCAGCACCUACUUCCCCGUCAUCUUCUGCCUGGAGUCGGGCAGCUCCGUCACCAAGAACCUGGAGGCUUGCCUGCAGAUCUACGCCCCAGAGCUGGACAGUGGCCGCGUGGCCGCCUGCGUGCAGGGGGACACGGGGGUGGCCCUGAUGCACCACAACGCCCAAGUGACCGAGGCGCUGGACCCCCCGCACCAGUACGUGCCCUGGAUCACCGUCAAUGGGAAGCACACGGACGAGCUGCAGGCACAGGCAGAGGCUUCGCUGCUGGGGCUGGUUUGCCACCUCUACCAGGGGGAGAAGCCUGAAGCCUGUGGGGGCUCCAAGGCCCCGAAGUUCCCGUCUGGCUGCAGGCGCUGAGGGAAGUUCUGGGAGCACCAGGAGAGAGGCAAAUAAAAAGGAUAUUUUUGUUGAAAACCUCCAGGAUCUGGAGUGGGGGAGCAGGGAGGGGAUGGUUUUGUCCUGCCACAGUGGGAAGGGGAGAGGGGCUGGGCACUGGGACAAUGGGACUGCCUUCCAGACCUGGGAAUUACCUGCUCCAGAGGUUCACAAAGAAACCCCUCAAAGAUUCUCAGGGAACUCUGCUGAGCAGCUCCCUGAGGAGCAGAACAUUUCCUCUCUCCAAGUCUUGGGAAGCAGCUCUGCUGUCCAUCUUUCUUCUCACCAUCUUUCUCUUGGCACUGGGGCCAAGACCAUCCCAGUUCCCGCCAAUCCUUCUCCAUUCCCAGCCAGCAGGUUUAGGAUGGAGCUUUCCUGGUGGCUCCCUGAGCACUUGGGACAAGAAGUUCUCUCCAGCAGACUUCAGGAGUUUCCCAGGCCUGCUUGUCCCAGCAAAAGGCCAUUCCCAGCUGGGCUCUGGGAAACAAAAUCUCCACAAGGACAAGGAAUUCUUGAUCCAGAGAAUUCUCACUACCUGUAGAACAAGUCCUCAGUGCUGGGGUCCUGGCUGGGUGAUGGGCACCAGAGCUCACACCUGCUUUGUUUUCCAUCCCCCUCAUCCUCAGCCAGAGGCUCCCAGCUGCAGGGACUGCCCUCAAACCUCUCCUCACACAAGGUGUGACCCCAUCCCCUCACCAGCCCUGCCCACCUGAAUCCUCCAGUCCAGCACUGCAGGCACGGGACUCAUCCCACCCCAUCCCAGCUCUGGCUCCACACCAAGGGCUCUUGCACUGGCAGACCCCUGAGAGCCACCUGUAGCCUCCCUUAACCCUUUCCCAGAGGAGCUGGGGGGCUGUGGGAGCAGGAGAGACACAGGAGCCCCCCACAUUCCAUCCUGAGAGAUGCCAGAGAGCCUUGAGCAGCCAACAGCCAGGAGGAACCACGGUCCUGCCACCACAGCCAUCACUCCUGUCUCUCUCAGGCUCAGCCAACCUGGGCCACCUGCCCAGUGUCCCCUCAGUGUCCCCACCACCCCAAGGACAGCAAGGGAGGCAGCUGCAAGCAGGGACCCUCCUUCCCUUUUAAAAAAACAGUAAAAAAGGAGGGAAAAAAAAUCACAGCAUCAACCAGAGAAUGCCUGGAAACUUAAUCUCUCUUUAUUGCCCAUUUCUCAUCCAACACCUGGACCCCAAACCCAGCUCUGGGCCCUGAGCAAGCACAGUCCCAGCGGCACGAGCACAGCACGGCCCAGCUCCUGCUGCUGCUCAGCGUCUGCCUCGAGCAUCAUCCUCGCCCCAAAACUUCUGUCCCCUGCAUCAGCUGCACUGCCACCGCCCGCAGCUCGCAGGGCCACAGAAAAUUCUUCUGCUCGAGAGAAGAAGGGAAAAGAAAGGAAAUAAUAAACCCUAACCCUGAAUCUGAAGGAGUCUCA
rnacentral:lncRNA from 1 species